AGUCGAGCGGUAAGGCCCCUUCGGGGGUACACGAGCGGCGAACGGGUGAGUAACACGUGAGCAAUCUGCCCUUCUCUUUGGAAUAACCAUUGGAAACGAUGGCUAAUGCCGAAUAUGACCUCCUUUCGCAUGUUUGGAGGUGGAAAGCUCCGGCGGAGAAGGAUGAGCUCGCGGCCUAUCAGCUUGUUGGUGAGGUAAUGGCUCACCAAGGCAUUGACGGGUAGCCGGCCUGAGAGGGUGACCGGCCACACUGGGACUGAGACACGGCCCAGACUCCUACGGGAGGCAGCAGUGGGGAAUAUUGGACAAUGGGCGAAAGCCUGAUCCAGCAACGCCGCGUGAGGGAUGACGGCCUUCGGGUUGUAAACCUCUUUCAGCAGGGACGAAGCGAAAGUGACGGUACCUGCAGAAGAAGGACCGGCCAACUACGUGCCAGCAGCCGCGGUAAUACGUAGGGUCCGAGCGUUGUCCGGAAUUAUUGGGCGUAAAGGGCUCGUAGGCGGUUUGUCGCGUCGGGAGUGAAAACUCAGGGCUCAACCCUGAGCGUGCUUCCGAUACGGGCAGACUAGAGGUAUGCAGGGGAGAACGGAAUUCCUGGUGUAGCGGUGGAAUGCGCAGAUAUCAGGAGGAACACCGGUGGCGAAGGCGGGUCUCUGGGCAUUACCUGACGCUGAGGAGCGAAAGCAUGGGGAGC
rnacentral:rRNA from 1 species